AUCACAUCACAUACGGAUUUGGUACAAUUUGUAAAUUGUUUCACUUUUUAUUGUUUUUGCUAGGACUGUAUUCAAUCAGCUAGGGUUUUCAUCUUUUACAAACAAGGGGAAGCUGCGGCCGUCAAUAUGGUUCUCAAGAUUGAGCUAUGCAGAUUCAGUGGCCAGAAGAUUUACCCUGGUAAGGGUAUUAGAUUCAUCAGAUCUGAUUCACAGGUGUUUUUGUUUGCAAAUUCCAAAUGCAAAAGGUACUUUCAUAACAAG